rnacentral:rRNA from 1 species
AGCCUGAUGCAGCCAUGCCGCGUGUGUGAAGAAGGCCUUCGGGUUGUAAAGCACUUUCAGUCGUGAGGAAGGUGGUGUAGUUAAUAGCUGCAUUAUUUGACGUUAGCGACAGAAGAAGCACCGGCUAACUCCGUGCCAGCAGCCGCGGUAAUACGGAGGGUGCGAGCGUUAAUCGGAAUUACUGGGCGUAAAGCGCAUGCAGGUGGUUUGUUAAGUCAGAUGUGAAAGCCCGGGGCUCAACCUCGGAAUAGCAUUUGAAACUGGCAGACUAGAGUACUGUAGAGGGGGGUAGAAUUUCAGGUGUAGCGGUGAAAUGCGUAGAGAUCUGAAGGAAUACCGGUGGCGAAGGCGGCCCCCUGGACAGAUACUGACACUCAGAUGCGAAAGCGUGGGGAGCAAACAGGAUUAGAUACCCUGGUAGUCCACGCCGUAAACGAUGUCUACUUGGAGGUUGUGGCCUUGAGCCGUGGCUUUCGGAGCUAACGCGUUAAGUAGACCGCCUGGGGAGUACGGUCGCAAGAUUAAAACUCAAAUGAAUUGACGGGGGCCCGCACAAGCGGUGGAGCAUGUGGUUUAAUUCGAUGCAACGCGAAGAACCUUACCUACUCUUGACAUCCAGAGAACUUUCCAGAGAUGGAUUGGUGCCUUCGGGAACUCUGAGACAGGUGCUGCAUGGCUGUCGUCAGCUCGUGUUGUGAAAUGUUGGGUUAAGUCCCGCAACGAGCGCAACCCUUAUCCUUGUUUGCCAGCGAGUAAUGUCGGGAACUCCAGGGAGACUGCCGGUGAUAAACCGGAGGAAGGUGGGGACGACGUCAAGUCAUCAUGGCCCUUACGAGUAGGGCUACACACGUGCUACAAUGGCGCAUACAGAGGGCAGCCAACUUGCGAAAGUGAGCGAAUCCCAAAAAGUGCGUCGUAGUCCGGAUUGGAGUCUGCAACUCGACUCCAUGAAGUCGGAAUCGCUAGUAAUCGUGGAUCAGAAUGCCACGGUGAAUACGUUCCCGGGCCUUGUACACACCGCCCGUCACACCAUGGGAGUGGGCUGCAAAAGAAGUAGGUAGUUUAACCUUCGGGGGGACGCUUACCACUUUGUGGUUCAUGACUGGGGUGAAUCGUAAACAGGUAGCCA